rnacentral:ncRNA from 1 species
ACUCCAGUCUGGCUCUGUGCGGCGACUUUGGAGGUGUAGUAUAGGUGGAAGCGCAAGCUCAAAUGAAAUACCACCACUCGGAACGUUGCUUCAGUUAUCGAAUGAAGAGACCAAUGGUUGUUUUGCGCAGUCUUCGGGCUGUGCGCCGUCUAGGCUGGGCAUAAUUGUGGUGUUUCUUUCACCGCCACGGGAGGGGU